rnacentral:rRNA from 1 species
GACGAACCGUGCGAACGUUAUUCGGAAUCACUGGGCGUUAAAGCGCGUGUAGGCGGGCCGGCACGUCGACGGCUGAAAUCCCCCGGCUCAACCGGGGAACCGGCCUCGAUACGACCGGCCUGGAGGGGGUAGGGGGCGCCGGAACUCACGGUGGAGCGGUGAAAUGCGUUGAGAUCGUGAGGAACGCCCGUGGCGAAAGCGGGCGCCUGGACCCCGCCUGACGCUGAGACGCGAAAGCCA